rnacentral:rRNA from 1 species
UAAGGAAUAUUGCGCAAUGGGCGACAGCCUGACGCAGUGACGCCGCGUGGGGGAUGAAGGUCUUCGGAUUGUAAACCCCUUUCGGCAGGGAAGAUGGAACGGGUAACCGUUCGGACGGUACCUGCAGAAGCAGCCACGGCUAACUUCGUGCCAGCAGCCGCGGUAAUACGAAGGUGGCAAGCGUUGUUCGGAUUUACUGGGCGUACAGGGCGCGUAGGCGGCAAUUCAAGUCAUCUGUGAAAUCUCCGGGCUUAACUCGGAACGGUCAGAUGAUACUGCUUUGCUAGAGUGCAGAAGGGGCAAUCGGAAUUCUUGGUGUAGCGGUGAAAUGCGUAGAUAUCAAGAGGAACACCUGAGGUGAAGACGGGUUGCUGGGCUGACACUGACGCUGAGGCGCGAAAGCCAGGGGAGCAAACGGGAUUAGAUACCCCCGUAGUCCCUGAGCGGGCUGGCAAGGCGCAU